GGGUUGUGAGGUUAAGCGACUAAGCGUACACGGUGGAUGCCCUGGCAGUCAGAGGCGAUGAAGGGCGUGCUAAUCUGCGAUAAGCGCCGGUAAGGUGAUAUGAACCGUUAUAACCGGCGAUACCCGAAUGGGGAAACCCAGUGUGACUCGUCACACUAUCAUUAACUGAAUCCAUAGGUUAAUGAGGCGAACCGGGGGAACUGAAACAUCUAAGUACCCCGAGGAAAAGAAAUCAACCGAGAUUCCCCCAGUAGCGGCGAGCGAACGGGGAGGAGCCCAGAGCCUGAAUCAGCAUGUGUGUUAGUGGAAGCGUCUGGAAAGGCGCGCGAUACAGGGUGACAGCCCCGUACACAAAAGCGCAUGUGCUGUGAGCUCGAUGAGUAGGGCGGGACACGUGGUAUCCUGUCUGAAUAUGGGGGGACCAUCCUCCAAGGCUAAAUACUCCUGACUGACCGAUAGUGAACCAGUACCGUGAGGGAAAGGCGAAAAGAACCCCGGCGAGGGGAGUGAAAAAGAACCUGAAACCGUGUACGUACAAGCAGUGGGAGCCCCACCACCAAAGCAUUCUCUGGUGUUGAAGGCCCUGCAAAGCAGCAUCGCGGUGGCGGAGCGUCGUUUGCGACGCCCAACACAAAAAACAAGCGGUGAGUGCUUUGGGGUGGGGUGACUGCGUACCUUUUGUAUAAUGGGUCAGCGACUUAUAUUCUGUAGCAAGGUUAACCGAAUAGGGGAGCCGUAGGGAAACCGAGUCUUAACUGGGCGUUAAGUUGCAGGGUAUAGACCCGAAACCCGGUGAUCUAGCCAUGGGCAGGUUGAAGGUUGGGUAACACUAACUGGAGGACCGAACCGACUAAUGUUGAAAAAUUAGCGGAUGACCUGUGGCUGGGGGUGAAAGGCCAAUCAAACCGGGAGAUAGCUGGUUCUCCCCGAAAGCUAUUUAGGUAGCGCCUCGUGAAUUCAUCUCCGGGGGUAGAGCACUGUUUCGGCUAGGGGGCCAUCCCGGCUUACCAACCCGAUGCAAACUGCGAAUACCGGAGAAUGUUAUCACGGGAGACACACGGCGGGUGCUAACGUCCGUCGUGAAGAGGGAAACAACCCAGACCGCCAGCUAAGGUCCCAAAGUCAUGGUUAAGUGGGAAACGAUGUGGGAAGGCCCAGACAGCCAGGAUGUUGGCUUAGAAGCAGCCAUCAUUUAAAGAAAGCGUAAUAGCUCACUGGUCGAGUCGGCCUGCGCGGAAGAUGUAACGGGGCUAAACCAUGCACCGAAGCUGCGGCAGCGACACUGUGUGUUGUUGGGUAGGGGAGCGUUCUGUAAGCCUGUGAAGGUGGCCUGUGAGGGUUGCUGGAGGUAUCAGAAGUGCGAAUGCUGACAUAAGUAACGAUAAAGCGGGUGAAAAGCCCGCUCGCCGGAAGACCAA
rnacentral:rRNA from 1 species